AUUGAACGCUGGCGGCAGGCCUAACACAUGCAAGUCGAGCGGCAGCGGAAAGUAGCUUGCUACUUUGCCGGCGAGCGGCGGACGGGUGAGUAAUGUCUGGGAAACUGCCUGAUGGAGGGGGAUAACUACUGGAAACGGUAGCUAAUACCGCAUAACGUCGCAAGACCAAAGAGGGGGACCUUCGGGCCUCUUGCCAUCAGAUGUGCCCGGAUGGGAUUAGCUAGUAGGUGGGGUAACGGCUCACCUAGGCGACGAUCCCUAGCUGGUCUGAGGGGAUGACCAGCCACACUGGAACUGAGACACGGUCCAGACUCCUACGGGAGGCAGCAGUGGGGAAUAUUGCACAAUGGGCGCAAGCCUGAUGCAGCCAUGCCGCGUGUAUGAAGAAGGCCUUCGGGUUGUAAAGUACUUUCAGCGGGGAGGAGGGUGUUGAGGUUAAUAACCUCAGCAAUUGACGUUACCCGCAGAAGAAGCACCGGCUAACUCCGUGCCAGCAGCCGCAGUAAAAC
rnacentral:rRNA from 1 species